UAUUAAUAUAACCCUGAAGAGAAACUGUAAAGCUCGUUAAAAACGCAUCUUCUAUCUUCGGUGGUCACAUGGGAGAAGAAGAACACGAGCUCCAAUCCAUUGAAGAGAUGUUUGAAGAUUUUAGAUCACCGUCGUUGUAAUUAGGGAUCAAAUUAAAUCACGAGCUCCUCACAUACACUAAACGGUAAGUUAGAUUUCUAGGUUUUAUAUUUCGAUUUUGAUUCAAAAUUAGCUAUGAAUAUUUGAUUUUAGUUUUGAUUUCAAGGCUGGUAGCAUCGUUGAUUCAGUAUAACUGUAAGAUUCAUUAUCAUAUGAUCUUAUUCAUCGCAUCAUCAUGUUUGAUUUUUGAAUCAAAAUCCAAAAUAUGGUACUCGAUUUAGAACGAAUUGGGUUCGAUUUUGGAUACUGCAGUCAAUGGAAGGAGUUACGGUUUGGAUUUCUAGUGGAAUUUAGGGAUUUUUCUCAUUGAGAACAAGAAGAAAGAAGAAAGGGGUUCUAUUGUAUAUGAGAAAUUGGGCGUUGAUGGUAUGUCAAAGGUGUAGCCGUGAUUUGAGCAGUGGAUGGAAGAGAUUAGACAUGGGUUUCUGGUGUUGAUGGGUUUGAAUCGUUUACAGGGAAGGUGGUGAAUGAAUGGGAUUGAGUUGGUGGUGCUGUUGAUGUCAAAAAAAUGAAAAAAGUGGAUAAUUUGGAGUGGGAUUUGGAGUUGAUAAGGAUGGAGUUACAAGGCUUGAGCAGCUGCAGUUGAGGUGGUGGAUGCAGCUGAUGCCAUGAAUCAAUGGUGGUGGUUGCUGUUAGUUGGAAGAAGAAGGAAAUAAUGGUGUUCAAAGUAGCUGCAGAUGCAGUGUUGGUACGCGUUAUUAUCUCUGAUGGAGUAUGAAGGACUUUCAACGGUAUUAAAGUAUAUUUGAUUGACUCUUAUCCACUGUGUGUGGCCAUUUCAUUAGACCGAUAGUGUUCGUACAAAUUUCGCAAUUAACAUGUCAUCUUAUAUCCUCUAUAUGAACAUAUAGAAUAAGAGCGACUGUAAAUCAUUUAGUUAGUUCUCAGUCAAAGUUGUGGUUGCUACUUUUGUUGAGCACUACUGUUAUAGAUGGAUGUUUGAACUGCCGAGAAGAACUGCUGUUGCUUUUGCAGAAAAGAACUGCCAAUGUACAGGGAAUAAGAGCAUGAUGCAGUAGUUUGGGAACAAGCAGCAACAAAGAGCUGGUAAUGCUGUAAAUGAGUCGAGCAAAUGAAGAUAAAAACAAUUGUUGAUAAUUUUGAAGCUAAGUAGAAUGGCAUGAAUUGCAAAAUAUCUGGUGCUGCUGUUCAAUGGAAGCAUGGACAGUUGUGUUUGUGAUGUGGAAGUACAGUUUUGUUUUUGCGAGUUCGGAAAAAAGACAAACUCGAUAAAAUGUUGGAUUGAUUGGUAACUGGAACAGAACAUUUCAAGUAAUCAAAAGGCUGGAACAACAACAAUCAAGUGUUAGUGAAGUCCCACUUCCAUUACUAUCAGCUAUAAACUUGAAGCAAGGCAUGAAGCUGGUAACCGUGGGGGUUCAACAUGCUUAGUUAUUUUCCCAUAAACUGGUAAUACAGAACCUGCUAGUAUUAUAAGCAAAAUCACAAAUACUAGACGUUUAGGAGUAGUCCAUAAUGAUCCCAGUUGUAUUUUCUCCCAAGAUCUAUAAAGAAUUUCUGGUGAAAGUUUUUUUAUGCAAUCAGAAAAAUAAAGAACUGUGCAUCUUUUCUUGGUGAUUACUAGGAUAAACUUAGAAUUAUCCACGAAAUACACAGGAUGCACAUGAGUGCAUAAUAUAUAUUCUGACAUGAAAUAGAUUUUUACCCUAGUUGUACCCGAGUGCAUAAUGUAUAUAUAUAUUUUAA